rnacentral:tRNA from 1 species
GCUGGCGUAGCUCAGUUGGCAGAGCAGCUGACUUGUAAUCAGCAGGUCGUCAGUUCGAUUCUGACCGCCAGCUCCA